UACAGAGGUCUCAAGCGUUGUUCGGAUUCAUUGGGCGUAAAGGGUGCGUAGGCGGCUGUGUAAGUCAGGAGUGAAAUAUGGCAGCUCAACUGUCAAGGUGCCAUUGAUACUGCGGAGCUUGAGUACAGAUGAGGUAGGCGGAAUUGACGGUGUAGCGGUGAAAAUGCUUAGAUAUCGUCAAGAACACCUAUAGCGAAGGCAGCUUACUAGGCUGUAACUGACGCUGAGGCACGAAAGUGUGGGGAUCAAACAGG
rnacentral:rRNA from 1 species